rnacentral:rRNA from 1 species
UGGGGAAUCUUGCACAAUGGGGGCAACCCUGAUGCAGCGACGCCGCGUGAGCGAUGAAGCCCUUCGGGGCGUAAAGCUCUUUCGACCGGAACGAUAAUGACGGUACCGGGAGAAGAAGCUGCGGCUAACUACGUGCCAGCAGCCGCGGUAAUACGUAGGCAGCAAGCGUUGUUCGGAGUUACUGGGCGUAAAGAGUGCGUAGGCGGUUUUCUAAGUUCGGUGUGAAAUCUCCCGGCUUAACUGGGAGGGUGCGCCGAAGACUGGGAGGCUGGAGUGUGGGAAAGGCAGGCGGAAUUCCUGGUGUAGCGGUGAAAUGCGUAGAUAUCAGGAGGAACACCGGCGGUGUAGACGGCUUGCUAAACCAUAACUGACGCUGAGGCACGAAAGCGUGGGUAGCAAACA